CCCUAGCUGGCUCAGUCGGUAGAGCAUGAGAUCCUUGAUCUUAGGGUUGUAAGUUCAAGCCCUAUGAUAAGUG
rnacentral:tRNA from 1 species